UACAGAGGGUGCAAGCGUUAAUCGGAAUUACUGGGCGUAAAGCGUGCGUAGACGGUUAUGUAAGUCAGGUGUGAAAGCCCCGGGCUCAACCUGGGAAUGGCAUUUGAGACUGCAUAGCUAGGGUGCGGAAGAGGGAAGCGGAAUUUCCGGUGUAGCGGUGAAAUGCGUAGAUAUCGGAAGGAACAUCAGUGGCGAAAGCGGCUUCCUGGUCCAGCACCGACGUUCAGGCACGAAAGCGUGGGGAGCAAACAGG
rnacentral:rRNA from 1 species